ACAGUGGACGCGAGCAUCUGUGGCCAAGUUUUUAAGGGCGCACGGUGGAUGCCUUGGCACCAGGAACCGAUGAAGGACGUGGGAGGCCACGAUAGGCCCCGGGGAGUCGUCAACCAGGCUUUGAUCCGGGGGUGUCCGAAUGGGGAAACCCGGCAGUCGUCAUGGGCUGUCACCCGCUGCUGAACACAUAGGCAGUGUGGAGGGAACGCGGGGAAGUGAAACAUCUCAGUACCCGCAGGAAGAGAAAACAACCGUGAUUCCGGGAGUAGUGGCGAGCGAAACCGGAUGAGGCCAAACCGUAUACGUGUGAGACCCGGCAGGGGUUGCGUGUGCGGGGUUGUGGGAUCUCUCUUUUACGGUCUGCCGGCCGUGAGACGAGUCAGAAACCGUUGAUGUAGGCGAAGGACAUGCGAAAGGUCCGGCGUAGAGGGUAAGACCCCCGUAGUCGAAACGUCAGCGGCUCGUUUGAGAGACACCCAAGUAGCACGGGGCCCGAGAAAUCCCGUGUGAAUCUGGCGGGACCACCCGCUAAGCCUAAAUAUUCCCUGGUGACCGAUAGCGGAUAGUACCGUGAGGGAAUGGUGAAAAGUACCGCGGGAGCGGAGUGAAAUAGUACCUGAAACCGUGUGCCUACAAGCCGUGGGAGCGUCGCGCAAGGACUUGUCCUUGCGUCGUGACUGCGUGCCUUUUGAAGAAUGAGCCUGCGAGUUUGCGGUGUGUUGCGAGGUUAACCCGGGUGGGGAAGCCGUAGCGAAAGCGAGUCCGAACAGGGCGAUUCAGUAGCACGCUCAAGACCCGAAGCGGAGUGAUCUAGCCAUGGGCAGGUUGAAGCGGCUGUAAGAGGUCGUGGAGGACCGAACCCACCAGGGUUGAAAACCUGGGGGAUGACCUGUGGUUAGGGGUGAAAGGCCAAUCAAACUCCGUGAUAGCUGGUUCUCCCCGAAAUGCAUUUAGGUGCAGCGUCGUGUGUUUCUUGCCGGAGGUAGAGCACUGGAUAGGCGAUGGGCCCUACCGGGUUACUGACCUUAGCCAAACUCCGAAUGCCGGUAAGUGAGAGCGCGGCAGUGAGACUGUGGGGGAUAAGCUCCAUGGUCGAGAGGGAAACAGCCCAGAGCAUCGACUAAGGCCCCUAAGCGUACGCUAAGUGGGAAAGGAUGUGGAGUCGCACAGACAACCAGGAGGUUGGCUUAGAAGCAGCCACCCUUGAAAGAGUGCGUAAUAGCUCACUGGUCUAGUGAUUCCGCGCCGACAAUGUAGCGGGGCUCAAGCGUACCGCCGAAGUCGUGUCAUUGCAGCAAUACGGCCAACGCCGGCUGUGAUGGGUAGGGGAGCGUCGUGUGCCGGGUGAAGCAGCCGCGGAAGCGAGUUGUGGACGGUUCACGAGUGAGAAUGCAGGCAUGAGUAGCGAUACAAACGUGAGAAACGUUUGCGCCGAUUGACUAAGGGUUCCUGGGUCAAGCUGAUCUGCCCAGGGUAAGUCGGGACCUAAGGCGAGGCCGACAGGCGUAGUCGAUGGAUAACCGGUUGAUAUUCCGGUACCCGCUGUGAAGCGUCAAACAUCGAGCAUCGUGAUGCUAAGGCCGUGAAGCCGCCCUGAUCUCUUCGGAGUUGAGGGGAGUGGUGGAGCCGCCGAACCAAGCGGUUAGUAGGUGAGUGAUGGGGUGACGCAGGAAGGUAGUCCAUCCCGGGCGGUGGUUGUCCCGGGGUAAGGGUGUAGGCCGUGCGGUAGGUAAAUCCGUCGCACACAAGGCUGAGACCUGAUGCCGAGCCGAUUGUGGUGAAGUGGAUGAUCCUAUGCUGUCGAGAAAAGCCUCUAGCGAGUUUCAUGGCGGCCCGUACCCUAAACCGACUCAGGUGGUCAGGUAGAGAAUACCGAGGCGUUCGGGUGAACUAUGGUUAAGGAACUCGGCAAAAUGCCCCCGUAACUUCGGGAGAAGGGGGGCCACACCCGGUGACCGGAUUUACUCCGUGAGCUGGGGGUGGCCGCAGAGACCAGCGAGAAGCGACUGUUUACUAAAAACACAGGUCCGUGCGAAGCCGUAAGGCGAUGUAUACGGACUGACGCCUGCCCGGUGCUGGAACGUUAAGGGGACCGGUUAGCUCCAUUUCGGUGGGGCGAAGCUGAGAACUUAAGCGCCAGUAAACGGCGGUGGUAACUAUAACCAUCCUAAGGUAGCGAAAUUCCUUGUCGGGUAAGUUCCGACCUGCACGAAUGGCGUAACGACUUCUCGACUGUCUCAACCAUAGGCCCGGUGAAAUUGCACUACGAGUAAAGAUGCUCGUUUCGCGCAGCAGGACGGAAAGACCCCGGGACCUUUACUACAGUUUGAUAUUGGUGUUCGGUUCGGCUUGUGUAGGAUAGCUGGGAGACUUUGAAGCUCGCACGCCAGUGUGGGUGGAGUCGUCGUUGAAAUACCAGUCUGGUCGUGCUGGAUGUCUAACCUGGGUCCGUGAUCCGGAUCAGGGACAGUGUCUGAUGGGUAGUUUAACUGGGGCGGUUGCCUCCUAAAGAGUAACGGAGGCGCCCAAAGGUUCCCUCAGCCUGGUUGGCAAUCAGGUGUUGAGUGUAAGUGCACAAGGGAGCUUGACUGUGAGACCGACGGGUCGAGCAGGGACGAAAGUCGGGACUAGUGAUCCGGCGGUGGCUUGUGGAAGCGCCGUCGCUCAACGGAUAAAAGGUACCCCGGGGAUAACAGGCUGAUCUUCCCCAAGAGUCCAUAUCGACGGGAUGGUUUGGCACCUCGAUGUCGGCUCGUCGCAUCCUGGGGCUGGAGUCGGUCCCAAGGGUUGGGCUGUUCGCCCAUUAAAGCGGUACGCGAGCUGGGUUUAGAACGUCGUGAGACAGUUCGGUCCCUAUCCGCUGUGCGCGUAGGAGUCUUGAGAAGGGCUGUCCCUAGUACGAGAGGACCGGGACGGACGAACCUCUGGUGUGCCAGUUGUUCUGCCAAGGGCAUGGCUGGUUGGCUACGUUCGGGAGGGAUAACCGCUGAAAGCAUCUAAGCGGGAAGCCUGCUUCGAGAUGAGGACUCCCACCCCCUUGAGGGGUUAAGGCUCCCAGUAGACGACUGGGUUGAUAGGCCGGAUCUGGAAGCACCGUGAGGUGUGGAGGUGACCGGUACUAAUAGGCCGAGGGCUUGUCCUCAGUUG
rnacentral:rRNA from 1 species